rnacentral:lncRNA from 1 species
AAAGCUUUACUAAAAAGAGCCAGAUUUGCAGUCUCCUAUCCUGGCUCCAACCGUAAGCAGGGACAAGGAAGUGAAAGGACCUCUCUUUGGAACAAAUGUCUGUGCUGGAUCUGGCCUCUGAGCAAGAAGAAGGAGUCCCGCACACUGCAAGAUCAAAGAGCCGGGAAGAACACGCACAGAUUGAGUCUGGGCCUGAGAGAAAUAGCACCGUGGUAUAGAAGCAGUUUCUCUCCUUAGCCCUCAGUCACUGGGUGUGUGAUUUUCCUGAUACCAGGGCUUUCUGAUGCCGGGAGUAAAAUUCUCUGCUGAAGCCUUUGACAAGCCUCAGCUCCUGACGUCUCACUCUCAAACCCUACUUUAAAAGCACAUCUGUUAGUUUAGAGCAUUUUUAGUUUAUUGAAGAAGCCUUCACAAAGAAAAAAAACAGAUGAUGAAAAUCUCAUCUGUCAAAACUGUUAUUAAAACCAGUAACAGUGUGAAAUUUUGUUUAAAUUGAAAGCAUCAUUUAUUUUUAUCAAACAUUUUAUAAACAAUCAUAUUUGAGAAAGAUUUGGGGGACCUGGAGAGCCCUCAACGAAAGGCGGCUCAUUAUGCUACUUCCUUUAUAACGUGUGGCACCCACCGGGAUGGGCUGUGCUGCCUCCCUCUAACUUCCUGUGGUACCAAUACGGUGAAGAUACCAGCACAGAGCAGGGAUGGGCCUUCUGAGAGUAAACAGAGAGCAGGCAAAAGUCACAGACCUGAUAAGGUGGAAGAAACUGAAGUCUAGGGUGACUGACAAGAUGCCCACCUGAUCUGCCAUUUGCUGAUUGACAUGGCCCCAAAAUAUGAAGUCCCCAAGAGAGUUUAAAAAAGCAAAUGGAAAGGAAGGAUGGAAAGAUCAAGCUGAGUAGGGUGUGUGUGUGUGUGUGUGUGUGUGUGUGUGUGUGUCAUGGUGCACACAGCUGACUUCACGCUCAGACCUGCUACUGAUAUCAAAGGGGCAUUUCACAGCCAGGAGGAGUAAAAGACACCCUUAAGCAGGGAACAAGAUGAAUGUCAAGUUCAUUUAGUGGAUCCUUCAUGCAAUCCAGAUGUUUGGCAAUGUGGAGACAAAACAUCUGACACUGUGUGCUGUGCAGACUCAACCUAGGAAUAUACAAAAGAUCUAGUUUCACAUUCUCGACAUCUUUGGCUGUCCUGGGUUAGCAGCUCUGAGAAAGAAACUGCAAAAGAAACGCCGGUGACAUAAGACUGAAGAUUAGCCCAUGGCGGCUUCUCUCUCCUUUUUCUCAGCCAUACAUGCUUGGGACCCUUCACCUGGGACUGUGCAAAGGUUUCGCCACGAGGGUGGAGCAAGGGAUUGGGGCACCAGGAUGUAAGAGGGCUUGGCAGCACCUCAGUUCCCUUGUAUUCUCUUAGGGGAAGACUGGGCACCAGACAUCCACUCUACCUUUCAUCCCUCAGGUUUCUUCAACUAUAAAAAAAUGCUACUCAUCUGGAGUCACCAGGGCUGGAUGCACCAGGGCAAACAGAUCCAUAAGCAGAGACCGUGGGCGUCAACUGAGGUUAUGGGCUCAUCUGUGUCUCUUCAUCUAAAAGAAGACGAAGCAGAUUUUCCAAGUUUACUUCUAAAGUAGCAAUACUGAACUGUCUAGAAAAGAAACACAUAUUAACAUUGACCAUUAUUUUCUUGAGCAUUUACUUAGAGUCUCUUGAAUCUAUCUGAUUAAUUUUUGCUAGAUAAUGAUGUAUUAUAUGCUUCUAUUUCUCUUUUUAAUGUAAGUCACAACACAUUGGGCUCUUUUAUCUUCCCUUGUACUUAUUCUAGAAGUUGUUUUCCCCUCUUAAAAAAUUAGUGUUGGGUCAGUGAGAUGACUAGUUGAUAAAGGCCCUUGCUGAGGCAGGCCUAACAACCUGAAUGAGUUCCAUCCUCAGAGCCCAUGUGGUGGAAAGAGAGAAUGGACUCAUAUUUAUGAGUUCUCUGACCUCCACCCCCAUGCCCUGACACAUGUGCACAUUCAUAUUUAUAAAUAAUAUAAAUGCAUAAAGGGCAGAAGUCCAAUUUCAUAAUGUCAAGCAAAUUUCAAAUAAACUAAAAAAAAAAAAUUUCCAAUGCUAAGCCCACUUGUGUAGGCUCUAGCUAGCCUGUCCCAAUCCAUUAGUUAUAGAUUUACCGGAACCCUUUGUCUUUGUUUAAAUAUAUAUUCUAUGUGCGUGUGUGCCUGAGUGUAUGUAUGUUUCCACACUGAUCCGAGAGUGAUGGGAGUCACAAGAAGGUGCUAGAUCUCCUGGAACUGGAGUCACAGGUGGACGUGAAAAGUGUGAGUCCUGAAAACUGAACUCAUGUCCUUUGCAAGAGGAGAAUGCACACUUUUUGGCUGAGCCACCUUGCAAAGUCCCCUGCGUUUUUCUAACCAUAAGUAGCAGUCACUGUUAGAAGCACAAACGCAUUGGGAGAAAAGUCUUUUUCUUAUUAUUCCAAGAGAUAUUUCCAAUAUGUAAUAUUUAUUUAUAGCAUCCAUUAAAUUCAAAACCAAAAUUUAUAAUGCAUCAUAUAGUUGAUUCAGUUGUAGGGUAAAAUCUGUAAAUGAUAAUUCAAUUCAGAAAAAUAAAUUGCAAAUCCUUGUGUGUC